UUAGCAACUCAACAAAAAACAACAGCAUACAUCAACUCAACAUACAUUUUUAAAAAAAAUCUAAAGUGAUAUUGGGUUGAUACUAUAAAAUGAAUUGACGAUUCAAAUUGAAUUUUAACAUUUUUCAUAAAUGAGUUACUUGAUUAUUUCAAAAAUCAAAUUUAUGAUUUUAGUACAAUAAACUAAAAACUAAGUUCAAUAUCUAACAAAGUGGGUGGGCAUUAAGAACCCAACAGAAUUAAUUCGAUCUUAAUUUACAAUCGUAGGUUUAAUACCUAUUUACUUUUCUAGGAUCUUCCCAAAAAAGAAUAAAAAUAAAGUCGAUUUAAAUAAAAAAACUUCUCUGAUAUCAAUAUUCAUAACGCAGCAUCAUUUGCCCCAUGUCAAGUGGCUAUCUCCUUGUGCCUUUCGGUGUACUUUACCUCUCUUUAGCAUAUCAGAGAGUAUCGGAAGGGAUGAUAGUUUGAGAAGACAAAUUCCAAUUUGCUGGUUGAAUCGGAUGCUAAUUUUUAUAGUGGGAAUCGUCAUUUCUGGUCAAAAGGAUCAAAUUGGUGUUUCAAUAAAGAAACGGAAGCAAUUACAAGAGACGAGUAUAAAACUAGCAGCGCCCGCGCCCGCAUUUUAUGAUGGAACUGGAAAUAUCUAGGUCCAAAUUCGUCUUUCUGCAGCAGAAAUUAGAGCUUGAACCUUAUGUCAGUGUUGAAUUUUUCAGAAGAUGAUAACACCGGUUCCUGCAAGGUUUAUGAGAGUAUCGUGCUUUUAAAUACUAGAGGUAUAUGCAUUUACUGUACUAAAUAAAAACAUUCUGUGUAACACUCAGGAGAUACAACACAAGUUUUUCCAAUUUCUAGACAUUUGCCUGAAAACUUUUAGUUCA